GACAGAGGGGGCAAGCGUUGCUCGGAAUCACUGGGCGUAAAGCGCACGUAGGCGGAUCUUUAAGUCAGGGGUGAAAUCCUGGAGCUCAACUCCAGAACUGCCUUUGAUACUGAGGAUCUUGAGUCCGGGAGAGGUGAGUGGAACUCCGAGUGUAGAGGUGAAAUUCGUAGAUAUUCGGAAGAACACCAGUGGCGAAGGCGGCUCACUGGCCCGGUACUGACGCUGAGGUGCGAAAGCUAGGGGAGCGAAUGGG
rnacentral:rRNA from 1 species